CAUCCUUCCUUGUGCUCUCAUCAUCGAGCAGUAUGAACAAAACUUGGCGCCCAAAUGUUGGAUUUGGCAUUCAACAACAAAGCUUGGAGGUACGAAUAAGUACUGACGAAGCUCAGGAAAUGGAGGGAAGCAAUCAUUUGGAGGAAUGAAUGGAGGCAAGCGCUGAAAUGGUGGGACAACGCCUGGAGAGGAAAACAACGAUUCAACUACCGAGUUGACUGAACAUAAUGUCUAAUCAUUGGGACACGCUUUCAGGCUGUGUAGGAAAAGGUCAUCGUCUCCAUUAAAACAAUUUCCCACUUGGGAUUUCUUCUUCACAUUCCCUUCUUUCUUUUAUGGAAAUUAUGAUUCAAUGUCGCUACAUUCUUCUAUAAUCAUCGUACCUUUCCUUCCUUCUUAGGCUAUCUUCUUUGAGAAGUUGCAGAGAUUUCCAGGUGGAAGUGCUUUCUCUGUUACUUCUCAGAACCACUUCUUGUUGGUAUGUUUCGAAAUUGCUUGUUACAUUUUCUCUGAAUCAGCGUCCGUGUUCCGAGAUUCUUUUGUUAUUGAUGAAAAUCGGGUAUUUGGAAUUGGGUUGCCUUUGAUUUCAUCAGCUACUUUUUGCUUCCCGACAUCUCGGAGUUCACGAAAUUUUGCUUCCCGACAGGUUAUGCUGGUUCGAACCUAGAUAUUCUCCUUUCUUUUUACUCGUCUAUCAUUAUCUUAGGUUGGUGAAUCUUGGGUUAGUGGAAUUCUAGCAGUUGCAACCAACCCUUUUGGAUGUCUGGAGAUUUCAAAUUUGGUUGUUAUUUGUUUGCUUGAAACGAAUAUAUAUAUAUAUAUUUAUUGGUGCAUGGAUAGGUCGCUUUUCCAUCCAUACUUUAAGGAGUUUUCUGAUGUAAAUUUGCAUUUUAAGGAGUUUUCUGGAGCUUCGAAGCUGUUAGUUUCUUAACAUUUGAAUGCCAUGAAACUUUUAAGCGCUGUGGUAAACUCCUUUGGAUGUUCUGCAUCUGGGGAACGUUUAGUUUCAGCUGCAAGAGAUGGGGAUUUUCAAGAAGCGCAGGCUUUGUUGGAGUGUAAUCCUCGGUUGGCACGCUACUCUACUUUUGGUGUUCGCAAUUCCCCCCUCCACUUCUCUGCUGCUCAUGGCCAUCACGAGAUAGUCCAUCUUUUGCUUCAGUCUGGAGUUGACAUUGAUUUAAGGAACUAUAGGGGUCAGACUGCUUUGAUGCAAGCUUGUCAACAUGGUCGUUGGGAAGUUGUUUUGAUUUUAGUACUUUUUGGAGCCAACGUCCAUAAAGCAGAUUACUUGAAUGGAGGCACUGCACUUCAUCUAGCUGCUACAAAUGGUCAUUCCCGGUGCAUCAGGCUUCUUCUUGCUGAUUAUAUUCCAAGUAUACCGAAUUUUAGGGAACUAAUGAGUCAAAUAAGAGAUAAUGAAGAACCAAUCUCAGAGUUUGAUCACAAGGCCUUGUCUCAGUUUAUCAACCAAUCAGCAGAUGGAGGCAUUACCGCCCUACACAUGGCGGCUCUUAAUGCGCAAGCUGAAAGCGUGCAGUUACUUCUGGAAUUUGGGGCAUCUGUUUCUGAGGUGACUAUAGGCGAUGGAACCGUAAUUGAUCUAAUAGGUCCAGGGAGUACAGCUCUUCAUUAUGCUGCAUGCGGUGGUAAUGCAAAAUGUUGUAAACUUUUGAUUGCAUGGGGUGCCAGCCUGACCACUGAAAAUCAAAAUGGUUGGACACCUUUGAUGGUCGCUCGCUCAUGGCAUAAAAGUUGGCUCGAGGACAUUCUCUCCACAGAGCCUGUAGGCCGGCCAAAACUUAUUCCUUCUCGUUAUCUAUCUCUGCCCCUUAUGAGUAUUGUUCAAAUUGCUAGAGAAUAUGGAUGGAAUAGUAAGUCUGCCCCUGGAUGCCAGGAUCCAUGCGUUGUCUGUUUAGAGAGGAAGUGCACGGUAGCUGCCGAAGGUUGUGAUCAUGAAUUCUGUACUAGAUGUGCCUUAUACCUCUGUUCUACAAAUUGCGGGACAACCAUUUCUCGUGGCCCUCCAGGUUCAGUUUCUUGUCCGCUCUGUCGCAAUGGCAUAGUGUCAUUCGUUAAGCUUCCUGAAAAAGCACUCGUUAAGGAAGUUGCAAGAACAAGUUUUUUACUUCCAAUAGGCCAACGUUCUCACGAGACACCAUCAAAAGCUACCCCCUUAACCUCCCAGCUUCGAUCGCUUGAGUUGUGUCAUGUCGACGACACUUCUCUGGGAGUUUCCUUUUGUUGCCAGAGACUUCCAUCAAUCAAUCUCUGUCGUGAAACGCCGAAUAUAUGUCACUCUUUAGUUCCACGUUGUGUCAACCGGAACUUGCAGAACCACUUGGCCAGAUAUUAAAGGCGAGGGCUCCAAUAAUCAACUUAUCACAGAAUCACUUUCGUGUCGUUGUUUUGGACGACGGAGAUGGAUCUCUUCUUGUACGUUCCUGAAAAAAGAAAAGGAAGCACGGAUGCAACUCCUCCAGUUGAUUUGUUUUUGUAGUCGGAUCUUGCUUUAAGCGUGGCUGCUCCUUUCAAUGCUGCAAAAGAAAGAACAAGAUUUGACAUUGAUUAUUAACCCAACACAAGAUUCCAAAGCUGGAAUAUCAGAAGGAGUAUAUUUUACAUGUGGCAG